rnacentral:rRNA from 1 species
CAUGCAAGUCGAACGAGAAUCUACUGAAGGAGGAUUCGUCCAACGGAUGUAGAGGAAAGUGGCGGACGGGUGAGUAACGCGUGAGGAACCUGCCUUGAAGAGGGGGACAACAGUUGGAAACGACUGCUAAUACCGCAUGAAGCAUAGGGGUCGCAUGAUUCUUAUGCCAAAGAUUUAUCGCUUCAAGAUGGCCUCGCGUCUGAUUAGCUAGUUGGCGGGGUAACGGCCCACCAAGGCGACGAUCAGUAGCCGGACUGAGAGGUUGAACGGCCACAUUGGGACUGAGAUACGGCCCAGACUCCUACGGGAGGCAGCAGUGGGGAAUAUUGGGCAAUGGGCGCAAGCCUGACCCAGCAACGCCGCGUGAAGGAAGAAGGCUUUCGGGUUGUAAACUU